UACAGAGGGUGCAAGCGUUGUUCGGAAUUACUGGGCGUAAAGCGCACGUAGGCGGCUUUGCAAGUCAGAGGUGAAAGCCCGGGGCUCAACCCUGGAAUUGCCUUUGAGACUGCAUCGCUAGAAUUGUGGAGAGGUAAGUGGAAUUCCGAGUGUAGAGGUGAAAUUCGUAGAUAUUCGGAAGAACACCAGUGGCGAAGGCGACUUACUGGACACAUAUUGACGCUGAGGUGCGAAAGCGUGGGGAGCAAACAGG
rnacentral:rRNA from 1 species